rnacentral:rRNA from 1 species
AGAGUUUGAUCCUGGCUCAGGACGAACGCUGGCGGCGUGCCUAAUACAUGCAAGUAGAACGCUGAAGAGAGGAGCUUGCUCUUCUUGGAUGAGUUGCGAACGGGUGAGUAACGCGUAGGUAACCUGCCUUGUAGCGGGGGAUAACUAUUGGAAACGAUAGCUAAUACCGCAUAACAAUGGAUGACACAUGUCAUUUAUUUGAAAGGGGCAAUUGUUCCACUACAAGAUGGACCUGCGUUGUAUUAGCUAGUAGGUGAGGUAAUGGCUCACCUAGGCGACGAUACAUAGCCGACCUGAGAGGGUGAUCGGCCACACUGGGACUGAGACACGGCCCAGACUCCUACGGGAGGCAGCAGUAGGGAAUCUUCGGCAAUGGGGGCAACCCUGACCGAGCAACGCCGCGUGAGUGAAGAAGGUUUUCGGAUCGUAAAGCUCUGUUGUAAGUCAAGAACGGGUGUGAGAGUGGAAAGUUCACACUGUGACGGUAGCUUACCAGAAAGGGACGGCUAACUACGUGCCAGCAGCCGCGGUAAUACGUAGGUCCCGAGCGUUGUCCGGAUUUAUUGGGCGUAAAGCGAGCGCAGGCGGUUUGAUAAGUCUGAAGUUAAAGGCUGUGGCUCAACCAUAGUUCGCUUUGGAAACUGUCAAACUUGAGUGCAGAAGGGGAGAGUGGAAUUCCAUGUGUAGCGGUGAAAUGCGUAGAUAUAUGGAGGAACACCGGUGGCGAAAGCGGCUCUCUGGUCUGUAACUGACGCUGAGGCUCGAAAGCGUGGGGAGCGAACAGGAUUAGAUACCCUGGUAGUCCACGCCGUAAACGAUGAGUGCUAGGUGUUGGAUCCUUUCCGGGAUUCAGUGCCGCAGCUAACGCAUUAAGCACUCCGCCUGGGGAGUACGACCGCAAGGUUGAGACUCAAAGGAAUUGACGGGGGCCCGCACAAGCGGUGGAGCAUGUGGUUUAAUUCGAAGCAACGCGAAGAACCUUACCAGGUCUUGACAUCCCGAUGCUAUUUCUAGAGAUAGAAAGUUACUUCGGUACAUCGGUGACAGGUGGUGCAUGGUUGUCGUCAGCUCGUGUCGUGAGAUGUUGGGUUAAGUCCCGCAACGAGCGCAACCCCUAUUGUUAGUUGCCAUCAUUCAGUUGGGCACUCUAGCGAGACUGCCGGUAAUAAACCGGAGGAAGGUGGGGAUGACGUCAAAUCAUCAUGCCCCUUAUGACCUGGGCUACACACGUGCUACAAUGGUUGGUACAACGAGUUGCGAGUCGGUGACGGCGAGCUAAUCUCUUAAAGCCAAUCUCAGUUCGGAUUGUAGGCUGCAACUCGCCUACAUGAAGUCGGAAUCGCUAGUAAUCGCGGAUCAGCACGCCGCGGUGAAUACGUUCCCGGGCCUUGUACACACCGCCCGUCACACCACGAGAGUUUGUAACACCCGAAGUCGGUGAGGUAACCUUUUGGAGCCAGCCGCCUAAGGUGGGACAGAUGAUUGGGGUGAAGUCGUAACAAGGUA